rnacentral:rRNA from 1 species
AGCAAACAGGAUUAGAUACCCUGGUAGUCCCACGCCGUAAACGAUGUCGACUUGGAGGUUGUGCCCGUGAGGCGUGGCUUCCGGAGCUAACGCGUUAAGUCGACCGCCUGGGGAGUACGGCCGCAAGGUUAAAACUCAAAUGAAUUGACGGGGGCCCGCACAAGCGGUGGAGCAUGUGGUUUAAUUCGAUGCAACGCGAAGAACCUUACCUGGCCUUGACAUCCAGAGAACUUAGCAGAGAUGCUUUGGUGCCUUCGGGAACUCUGAGACAGGUGCUGCAUGGCUGUCGUCAGCUCGUGUUGUGAAAUGUUGGGUUAAGUCCCGCAACGAGCGCAACCCUUAUCCUUUGUUGCCAGCGGCUCGGCCGGGAACUCAAAGGAGACUGCCGGUGAUAAACCGGAGGAAGGUGGGGAUGACGUCAAGUCAUCAUGGCCCUUACGGCCAGGGCUACACACGUGCUACAAUGGCGCAUACAAAGAGAAGCGACCUCGCGAGAGCAAGCGGACCUCAUAAAGUGCGUCGUAGUCCGGAUUGGAGUCUGCAACUCGACUCCAUGAAGUCGGAAUCGCUAGUAAUCGUAGAUCAGAAUGCUACGGUGAAUACGUUCCCGGGCCUUGUACACACCGCCCGUCACACCAUGGGAGUGGGUUGCAAAAGAAGUAGGUAGCUUAACCUUCGGGAGGGCGCUACCA